AGAGUUUGAUCCUGGCUCAGAACGAACGCUGGCGGCGUGGAUAAGACAUGCAAGUCGAACGAGAGAAUUGCUAGCUUGCUAAUAAUUCUCUAGUGGCGCACGGGUGAGUAACACGUGAGUAACCUGCCCCCGAGAGCGGGAUAGCCCUGGGAAACUGGGAUUAAUACCGCAUAGUAUCGAAAGAUUAAAGCAGCAAUGCGCUUGGGGAUGGGCUCGCGGCCUAUUAGUUAGUUGGUGAGGUAACGGCUCACCAAGGCGAUGACGGGUAGCCGGUCUGAGAGGAUGUCCGGCCACACUGGAACUGAGACACGGUCCAGACACCUACGGGUGGCAGCAGUCGAGAAUCAUUCACAAUGGGGGAAACCCUGAUGGUGCGACGCCGCGUGGGGGAAUGAAGGUCUUCGGAUUGUAAACCCCUGUCAUGUGGGAGCAAAUUAAAAAGAUAGUACCACAAGAGGAAGAGACGGCUAACUCUGUGCCAGCAGCCGCGGUAAUACAGAGGUCUCAAGCGUUGUUCGGAAUCACUGGGCGUAAAGCGUGCGUAGGCUGUUUCGUAAGUCGUGUGUGAAAGGCGCGGGCUCAACCCGCGGACGGCACAUGAUACUGCGAGACUAGAGUAAUGGAGGGGGAACCGGAAUUCUCGGUGUAGCAGUGAAAUGCGUAGAUAUCGAGAGGAACACUCGUGGCGAAGGCGGGUUCCUGGACAUUAACUGACGCUGAGGCACGAAGGCCAGGGGAGCGAAAGGGAUUAGAUACCCCUGUAGUCCUGGCAGUAAACGGUGCACGCUUGGUGUGCGGGGAAUCGACCCCCUGCGUGCCGGAGCUAACGCGUUAAGCGUGCCGCCUGGGGAGUACGGUCGCAAGAUUAAAACUCAAAGAAAUUGACGGGGACCCGCACAAGCGGUGGAGUAUGUGGCUUAAUUCGAUGCAACGCGAAGAACCUUACCUGGGCUUGACAUGUAAUGAACAACAUGUGAAAGCAUGCGACUCUUCGGAGGCGUUACACAGGUGCUGCAUGGCCGUCGUCAGCUCGUGUCGUGAGAUGUUUGGUUAAGUCCAGCAACGAGCGCAACCCCUGUUGCCAGUUACCAGCACGUGAAGGUGGGGACUCUGGCGAGACUGCCCAGAUCAACUGGGAGGAAGGUGGGGACGACGUCAGGUCAGUAUGGCCCUUAUGCCCAGGGCUGCACACGUACUACAAUGCCCAGUACAGAGGGGGCCGAAGCCGCGAGGCGGAGGAAAUCCUAAAAACUGGCCCAGUUCGGACUGUAGGCUGCAACCCGCCUACACGAAGCCGGAAUCGCUAGUAAUGGCGCAUCAGCUACGGCGCCGUGAAUACGUUCCCGGGUCUUGUACACACCGCCCGUCACAUCAUGGAAGCCGGUCGCACCCGAAGUAUCUGAAGCCAACCGCAAGGAGGCAGGGUCCUAAGGUGAGACUGGUAACUGGGAUGAAGUCGUAACAAGGUA
rnacentral:rRNA from 1 species